rnacentral:rRNA from 1 species
CCUACGGGUGGCAGCAGUGGGGAAUAUUGCGCAAUGGGCGAAAGCCUGAAGCAGCGACGCCGCGUGAGGGAUGAAGGUCUUCGGAUUGUAAACCUCUUUCAGCAGGGAAGCACGGUCCCUGUGCUAAUCAGCAGUGAAUUGACGGUACCUGCAAAGGAAGCACCGGCUAACUCCGUGCCAGCAGCCGCGGUAAUACGGUGGGUGCGAGCGUUAAUCGGAAUUGCUGGGCGUAAAGCGCUCGUAGGCGGUAUGUCAAGUCAAGGGGUAAAUCCCCGGGCUCAACGUGGGAACUGCCUUUGAAACGGGCAGACUGGAGUGUGUGAGAGGCUAGUGGAAUUCGUGGUGUAGGGGUGAAAUCCGUAGAUAUCAGGAGGAACACCAGUGGCGAAGGCGACUAUCUGGCACAUAACUGACGCUGAGGAGCGAAAGCGUGGGUAGCGAACAGGAUUAGAUACCCCAGUAGUC